GCCAAUGUGGCAUAGUGGUUUGAGCCUUGGACUAGUACUCUGGAGACCAGGGUUCGAAUCCCUGCUUGGCCA
rnacentral:tRNA from 1 species